UGCGUAGGCGGGUUUCUAAGUCAGAGGUGAAAGCCUGGAGCUCAACUCCAGAACUGCCUUUGAUACUGGAAGUCUUGGGUAUGGCAGAGGUGAGUGGAACUGCGAGUGUAGAGGUGAAAUUCGUAGAUAUUCGCAAGAACACCAGUGGCGAAGGCGGCUCACUGGGCCAUUACUGACGCUGAGGCACGAAAGCGUGGGGAGCAAACA
rnacentral:rRNA from 1 species